rnacentral:piRNA from 1 species
GGACUGGACUGCACUCUGCGGAGCACAAAGG